rnacentral:rRNA from 1 species
UACGGAGGAUGCGAGCGUUAUCCGGAUUUAUUGGGUUUAAAGGGUGCGUAGGCGGGAUGCCAAGUCAGCGGUAAAAAUGCGGUGCUCAACGCCGUCGAGCCGUUGAAACUGGCGUUCUUGAGUGGGCGAGAAGUAUGCGGAAUGCGUGGUGUAGCGGUGAAAUGCAUAGAUAUCACGCAGAACUCCGAUUGCGAAGGCGGCAUACCGGCGCCCUACUGACGCUGAGGCGCGAAAGCGUGGGUAUCGAACAGG